AUCGGGAGCACACUGUCGCUUGUGAACACGGUUGUACCUGCACAGAAAAGCUGAAAAUGUGGAAAGAAACCGGCUAGAGCAGACAGCUUUGGAGACAAUGUCUGGGCCUGGAGAUCUGGCUCACAGGGAGACUGACUUCACUGAACAUCCUUUUGAAAUAUUGGGAUGUUUAACCAUAUGCAUAUACUGCCUUUUCAGAGAAGAAGGGGGAGGAUUUGGAAGCCCAAUCUCCAGGUCUGGUCCUCCUUUUAUUACUCAGUAGCUUUGACUUUGGACAACUUACUUAUCUGCAAUGUGCUUCCCUUCUCUGGGCAAUGAAGGUGUUGAGCCCCACAUCAGGGGUUGGUGGAAGGGAAAUGAGACAAGAAAAUGCAGUUGAGUGCCACGGGUGGGGGCGAAUCAAGUGGUUUCAGCCCCUUUGGGGACCAAAGAAGCCCAGCAGCAGCAGCAGCGAGGGUGAGAGCCAACAUACAGGGUGCUGUUUGAUUUAAGGGCUGCCGCCAGCUCGCUGCAGAACUCGAAAAAGUGACCUUAAAGUCUCUGGAUUUCAGUUCUUUCAUCUGUAAAAGGGCACUGGUGGGGAGUGGCAAUGACACUAGAUGGUUCACUUCAGCUAAAAACAGACAUAAAACAUGAUUUUAAUAUUGGUUGGAAAUGACUCAGUGCAGUAACAGAGGCAGAAAAAAAGCCCCCAAGGGAGUUUGCAGCACAGAACCAUCGCUUCCAGCUGUGAAUGUGCAGAGGGGAAGAGGACGUUGCAGAAAGGAGAAACUGGUGGUCUCUUUACCUAAAUCACCCAGACCCUGGUGCCAGGCAAAUGUUCACUCUUUCAGCCGUUUUUGGAAAGGCCAACAGAAAGGAGAGGUACCUAGACAGUCUGUACAAUGGUGGCCCCCAAUGAACUAUGCCUCCUUGUAAUCAUGUCCUAGUGUAAUCCCCUCUGACACUGACUUUGGGAUUGACCAUGUGACUUGCUUUCGCCAUGGAACACAAACAGCACAAGCACAAACUUGAUAAGCACUUGGACACUGGGUCUUUGGAACGCCGCCUCUGGAAGCCAGCAUCCAUGCUGUAAGGAAGCUCAAGCUAAACUACCAGAUGAUGAGAGGACAUGGAGAGAAAACCCAGAGGACAGGAGUCCUCAUGGACAUUCAAUCUUAGCUGUUCCCCAGCCAAUGCAGCCACAUGGGUGACCUCGGCAACCCUGCACUGUGCAAAAGAACUACCCAGCUGAACCAGUCAACCCAUAGGAUUGCAAAACAUGAUAACCAGUUGUUGAUUUAAGCCACUAAGUGUGGGAGUAGUUUUUUGGGCAGCAAAAGAUAACUUAGUAUUGUGGGAAGCUAAAAUUUCAGUUUCAGGGAGGGUUUUGAGAGUUGAUGAGUCCAUUUGGGGGAAGGAUGUAGUCUUAAGCUUACUUCCCCAGAAGCAAAAGGGGAAUGAGAUAAACAGACCUUUGGCUGGACUCCAAGAGUCUUUCAACCAAAGAAAGUUUACUGAAGAAAAAAAGAGAAACUUGGCCGAGAUCUGAAGUGUGAUGAGAAUUUGGAACACGGAAGACAAGCCAGGAGGCCCUUCUGAAAGUAGGAAGCCACAGAAGCAAACGGUGCCAAGGAGGACGAUCCAGGGCGGGCCUGGCCGCAAGAGGGCACCUUGCAGAAAGCACCGCAGUUGGCAGUAAGCAGGCAUUUUCCAGAAGAAUCCCGAAGGCAAAUACUCUGUUCUGCUCUCAGUUAACCUGUGCUACUGUCAGACCACAUACACUGUAGAGUUCAGAGGUAGCUGCUAUGGGAGUGAAUCUUCUUGCUGCUGCCAAAGUGAGUAAAAAUCAAACGGAAUAAAAUAAUAAUGGUGGUAUGGGCCCAGUCUUCUAGAGUUUUCCAUGCCCUUCAUUUCACAUAGCCUUCACACCAUCCUGUAGGGUCGGGAGGGCAUGAAUAAGAACCCUCCUCCCAAAGAUGAAAGAACAGAGAACAAAAGGGGCUGAGGGACUUUUGUGAGACCACGCGGCAAGCUGGGGCCUGGAAACAUGAGCUCAUCCAUCCCGGCCUUUCUGCUGUGGCUCUAUCAUCCACUUGUCCAGGGAGGGUGCCAGCCCUACGUGUGUUUAGUGAGAAGUGUGGGGUGAGAGCAACCACAGGAAAGAAAGCCCCGUUGUGACAACGUUGUGCCCUGAGCUGCCUGGCCCACUCAUUCCACUGGCCUGUGUUCUACCCAGGACGGGCCGCAUGUCCCAGGGUUUCUGCUGAGCAACCAGUCAGCGUGCUGCUGAGCACCCGGGCCCGAUGUGAAAUGGUCAGCUCCUUUCCUUCUACCAGUGCCAACUGCUGCACCUGCCAGCCUCUGCCUAGCCUCCACCACUGAUGCUGCUGUAAGAGGAAGAAGAUUCCUGUCUUAACAGAAUUCUCAUGCAUGCCUUUCAAACCGAGGAGCUCACAGGCUGACGGAAGAGGAUGACAGGGAGUGGAGGCAGCUGCACUCGGGUGUUUAUAGUGCACAUACAUGAUUCAUCUCAAACCAGACAAGCCAUGCUGCACCCGACGGCUCGCCAUUUCUCAGAGAUGCCAAGCCUUCUUACAACUCUGAGCCUCUGCAUGUGUCUAGAACAUUUUACCCAUAUUUCUCUACCUGCUGGACUCCUUUCCAUCCUUCAAAACUCAGACCAAAUGUCCUUGCUCUGUGAAACCCUCCUUCUUCCCAGGGGACUCCUGCAGGCCAGCAGCAGGGACGGACUCACCUCCCUGUGCCCUCUCCCAGCAGAUGACCUCAGCCCUCACAGUUGAAGAAGUUGGUAAGAAACUGACAAUUUGGUGUAGGAAAAUUUAAAAAACUGUCAGCAAGUUCACUGAAUAACAUUUGGAGGACUUCAUUAUGAAAAAGGGAUCAGGCCAUUCAUUCAUUCCUUAAGCAUUUAUGGCGUGCCCACCAGGUGCCCAAAGUGUGCUCCAAAGAGGCACAGGUGAGGCCACAGGAUCUGUCCUCAGAUCCGGAUUUCACAGCCCAGUGGAGGAAGUGAUGUCUAACAAGGCCUGCAGGCAUGCGGAGGGAGUGCCCGCUGGAACCCAGGGCCAGGACAGGGCCUGUGCAGAGGAGUCCACCUUCAGCAAGACGGACCACCAAUACUCUGCGACUUAGAGAAGGAGACUGAGGAAUAAAUGCCCAGACCGUACUCCGCUCCUGCCCUCCUGGUUUCCUGCCAGAGUCUCCCCUUGUCUGAAGCCAACCUGAAGACACCCCUUGAGGACCCCUUCACUGUACUGGGACCAUGGGGGGCUGAGCCUCUGGGAUCAGUCACCUCCCUAACCUCCUGCAUGAGGAACAACUUGACGAACACACAUUUCAACCUGUAACAGGGUGGACAAGCAGAACCCUUCUUCAGAAGCACAUUUAUGAAGUUCCCGCAGUAACUGGCUCAGAGAGAAAUGCUGCUGUAACAGCUGAGAGAAAACUGAUAACCCUGAAAAUAAAGUGUCCAUGGAAAUC
rnacentral:lncRNA from 1 species